rnacentral:rRNA from 1 species
GACGAACGCUGGCGGCGUGCUUAACACAUGCAAGUCGAACGAUGAAGCCUAGCUUGCUAGGUGGAUUAGUGGCGAACGGGUGAGUAAUACGUGAGUAACCUACCUUUAACUCUGGGAUAAGCCCGGGAAACUGGGUCUAAUACCGGAUACGACCAAUCUCCGCAUGGGGUGUUGGUGGAAAGCGUUAUGUAGUGGUUAUAGAUGGGCUCACGGCCUAUCAGCUUGUUGGUGAGGUAACGGCUCACCAAGGCGACGACGGGUAGCCGGCCUGAGAGGGUGACCGGCCACACUGGGACUGAGACACGGCCCAGACUCCUACGGGAGGCAGCAGUGGGGAAUAUUGCACAAUGGGCGCAAGCCUGAUGCAGCGACGCCGCGUGAGGGAUGACGGCCUUCGGGUUGUAAACCUCUGUUAGCAGGGAAGAAGAGAGAUUGACGGUACCUGCAGAGAAAGCGCCGGCUAACUACGUGCCAGCAGCCGCGGUAAUACGUAGGGCGCGAGCGUUGUCCGGAAUUAUUGGGCGUAAAGAGCUUGUAGGCGGUUUGUCGCGUCUGCUGUGAAAGGCCGGGGCUUAACUCCGUGUAUUGCAGUGGGUACGGGCAGACUAGAGUGCAGUAGGGGAGACUGGAAUUCCUGGUGUAGCGGUGGAAUGCGCAGAUAUCAUGAGGAACACCGAUGGCGAAUGCAGGUCUCUGGGCUGUAACUGACGCUGAGAAGCGAAAGCAUGGGGAGCGAACAGGAUUAUAUACCCUAGUAGUCCAAGGGCGAAUUCCACAGUGGAUAUCAGCUUAUCGAUACCGUCGCCCUCGAGGGGGGGCCCGGUACCCAGUUUUGUUCCCUUUAGUGAGGGGUUAAUUAGUGUGGUGGGCGUGUUUGUGGGCUAUAUGUGAUGUUGUGUUGUGUGUAUUUAUGUGUAAUAUGUUGUGUUGC